UUCGUCUACAAUAGCUUAGGGUUUUAUGUAUCGAGUAUUAUGGAUAGCAGGAGCCUCCCGGGCUGAUCUGAUUACAAAAUAAGUACUUGAGGAAAUUAGCCCCAAAGCUCCUGCUAGAUUGUUUUUUAGCCGUUUGUGUUGCAGAUUCGCCUUAUUCCUUAGGCUCUUCUGUGUCAAAAAAGCGGCUACAUCUCGCUUUUGCUAGCAAUGUUAUUUAUGUUUUUAGUGUUUUUGGGCGAUGAUUAUAAACUUACCCGCGCUUCUGAGAUGCUUCUUUAGGUCAAUGAAGCAUAUAAGAAGAGAGUCUCGGUGAAUGGGAGAUUGAGCCACGUGCAGUUGAAAAGUGGUAGAUGAAACAGUACUCUUUGGAUGAAGGAUGGGAUAGUUCUCAAUGAGCCAUAGUUAGACUAAGUUUGGAGGAAUUGAGUUCCUGUGUAUAUUUUGAUAAUAGGAUAAUGUUUGUUAACCACGGGGAAGUGAAGAAGUUGCUUCCUGGCGUACUUUCUCAAGAUGAUUCAGAACUCAGACGCAUUCUCAUACAAAAGUUCCACACUGUAUUGCAUGCAAUUCAGUUUUCCAGUUCUGUUCUCUAUUGUUUCA